GAAGCGGCAAGUGGCGCCCAAACAGGGACCGAAAGGAAACAGGACAAGAAGCCCCAACAUAUCAAGUAUGAUCUGGACCUUCUGGACUCACUUUCAGCAUGGUGACCCCACAGUAUCACAAGGAGAUCUGAACUAACUAUGCUGCUCUCUGGGCGUAUUCCCAUGCUUGAGCUUGAAGAGUGGCAACAUACGCCACCCCAAAAUAUGACACUUUGACAUAAGGAUUGUUUUGCGCUAAGGGCACCUGGAAAACAGCAGGUGCAGGAAGACCGCUCUGACACCUCCGACAGCAGAUGCAGGAAGAGCACGCUCCCUUUUCCUUCCUGAAAGCAGGAGAUGCGUGUGAAAGAUGCCCUCACUGCAUCAGGAGGAAAGAAGCAUUCUUGUCAUGUGAGACAGGAAGUCAGUGCCCAGAGAAAUUGGUACAAACCUUGUUAAAAUAAUUUAUAUCCUCCUUUAAUCUUCCCAUAUGUCUUGCUUUUUCAUAAUUGCCUCCCUUUGUUCAACCCAGUAUAAAAACAUUUAGGCCUACCCAGUA